rnacentral:rRNA from 1 species
AAGUAAAAGUCGUAACAAGGUUUCCGUAGGUGAACCUGCGGAAGGAUCAUUAACGAGUUUUGAAACGGGUUGUAGCUGGCCUUCCGAGGCAUGUGCACGCCCUGCUCAUCCACUCUCUACACCUGUGCACUUACUGUAGGUUGGCGUGGGUUUCUGGCCUCCGGGUCAGAAGCAUUCUGCCGACCUAUGUACACUACAAACUCUUAAAGUAUCAGAAUGUAAACGCGUCUAACGCAUCUUAAUACAACUUUCAGCAACGGAUCUCUUGGCUCUCGCAUCGAUGAAGAACGCAGCGAAAUGCGAUAAGUAAUGUGAAUUGCAGAAUUCAGUGAAUCAUCGAAUCUUUGAACGCACCUUGCGCUCCUUGGUAUUCCGAGGAGCAUGCCUGUUUGAGUGUCAUGAAAUUCUCAACCCAUAAAUCCUUGUGAUCUAUGGGCUUGGAUUUGGAGGCUUGCUGGCCGUAACGGUCGGCUCCUCUUGAAUGCAUUAGCUUGAUUCCGUGCGGAUCGGCUCUCAGUGUGAUAAUUGUCUACGCUGUGACCGUGAAGCGUUUUGGCGAGCUUCUAACCGUCCAUUAGGACAAUUUUAUAACAUCUGACCUCAAAUCAGGUAGGACUACCCGCUG